GCAGUAGAACGCUGAAGACUUUAGCUUGCUAAAGUUGGAAGAGUUGCGAACGGGUGAGUAACGCGUAGGUAACCUGCCUACUAGCGGGGGAUAACUAUUGGAAACGAUAGCUAAUACCGCAUAACAGCAUUUAACCCAUGUUAGAUGCUUGAAAGGAGCAAUUGCUUCACUAGUAGAUGGACCUGCGUUGUAUUAGCUAGUUGGUGAGGUAACGGCUCACCAAGGCGACGAUACAUAGCCGACCUGAGAGGGUGAUCGGCCACACUGGGACUGAGACACGGCCCAGACUCCUACGGGAGGCAGCAGUAGGGAAUCUUCGGCAAUGGGGGCAACCCUGACCGAGCAACGCCGCGUGAGUGAAGAAGGUUUUCGGAUCGUAAAGCUCUGUUGUAAGAGAAGAACGUGUGUGAGAGUGGAAAGUUCACACAGUGACGGUAACUUACCAGAAAGGGACGGCUAACUACGUGCCAGCAGCCGCGGUAAUACGUAGGUCCCGAGCGUUGUCCGGAUUUAUUGGGCGUAAAGCGAGCGCAGGCGGUUUAAUAAGUCUGAAGUUAAAGGCAGUGGCUUAACCAUUGUUCGCUUUGGAAACUGUUAGACUUGAGUGCAGAAGGGGAGAGUGGAAUUCCAUGUGUAGCGGUGAAAUGCGUAGAUAUAUGGAGGAACACCGG
rnacentral:rRNA from 1 species